GGCCUUUCUUCUCAUCCAGCAAAUGAAUACGACCUUCUGUCCAACAGCGAAUGCAAGCAGAAAGGUUGGAAGGUUUCUCAGCCCUAUAAGACUGAUGGGUGAUAUCUGGUUGAAUACAUCUGGGAGUGCUCAGCUCAGACUUGUUGAUACUGGCUAAUCAUAAGGAUAUGGUGGAAAACAGGAUUACAUGCAGGAAAGGACUCUCUACUGAUGGCUGUCUGACAGGAGGAGGAAAAAAAAACACAAGGAUUGUUUUGGCCUUAUUAAUAGCUGAGAUUGAGAUGACUUGUAUAUUGUCUCUGUGUAAAUAUAACACUUCAAUAAAUUAGUUAGCACUGUACAAGGAUGGGAAUUUAAACAAGGCUGGUGCAUGGACUGGCUUUUAUUUUUUUAUUAAAGGGUAGUCAAUUUUGCAGCCAGUUUAGUGUAUUAUAUUUUUAGUGAAUGAAAAACAAAUCAAUUUCCACUGUGCUUAAACAACACUGGUGGUUCUGAGGUACCAUUUUAGACAGAAGCUCAGGAAAAUUAAAACACACGUGCUUUACAGGCUUGAUCCCGCAUCCGCUGAUUUCAAAGAUGCACGAACAAGCAAUAUAUACCCAAGCCUUCCAACAUUAAUUUCUUCCCAAUGCUUUUGGGAUGAAAGAGGCUAGUUUUGAAUUUAUUUUUUAGGUGCACAGUUAAAUUUCAUUGACAUGAAGGGGAACAAUAAUUCAACUCAACCCUACCACCCACUCAAAGUGUGUGAGUUUUUCUAUCAGCAAAUUAUAUUUUGGCAAUAUUUAAGUAGAAACAUUUGGAAAACAAAGCAAAAAUGACAUACAGUUGGGGAAGGAACAGGAGAACAAAAUGGGGAGAAAUUAAGACCCAUGACAAAAAUAAGGUAGGUGAGGAAGAUAAGCAACGAUUUCAGUGGUGGGAAUGAUAAAUUUAAAAAAAACCCACAAUUAAUAUAUUUUACAGAGUUUUUGUAAAAGCUAUUUUACGAGAACAGAUUUAAUUAGUAAACAGCUCUUUUAACAGAUAUUGAUAUAUUUUAUAUUAUAUUUCAAGAUGAAGGAUGAUAUGUUUUACAAAUAAUAAACAAAUCAGUUCACCAUUAAAAUAUAGUCACAUCUAGGAUGGUGGGUAGUAGCUAAGGAGACAAUCAGAGCAUAGCAUACUGCAAAACACUAGUGGGAGGAGGGAAGCAAGGAAAAUUUUAGUCAAGGGCUCUAGUGCAAGUUAUGAAACUGUGAUGACUAGAGAUCUUUAAUGUGCACAGAGAGCUUCAUAUAGAUUUUUGUCUGUCCACCUUCAAAUUACAGAAGGCUGUGUCAAUAUUUCUGAGAUUCAAACUAGUGGUUCCAAAGAGUCCAAAUUAUUUCAGACAUGAUGCUGAGACCACCAAACCCUCUAGCUCUAAAGGGCAAACUUCAUGUCCGCCAGCCCAGGUCACUUUCUAUCAUUCAGUAGUGCUCUUAAUACACAUCUAGGAUGCACUUGUGUUACUCAGCAAAAGAUGUGCAUAAAUCAGCACUAUUCCAAAGCCUGAAGAAUCCUCUUAUUUUUAAAGGAAUCUCUUAUGGCUCCAACUCUAAUCAGUUUAGCAAGUUAGCACUUUUCAAAAAGUGUAUCAGUCUUGGUUCAAAAUAUAUCACACUUCAGAACCUGCUACCACAGUCAAAAGAAUUCUUGCGUGCUGUAAACUACUUGAUGGCUUGUAUACAGAGUCUUAGUGCAGAAUGACACAGCAAGAGACAAAAAGUAAACAUAUCUUUAGGUUUGAGAGUGCUAUCAUGUUUUGGCAACUAACGAACACCUAAUAAUUGAUACCAUCUCUCUGUUCCUGUCCACAAAUAGCCCUGUUAAAAAGAGAAAUGACAUACAAAAAUGCAAUUAAAUAACGAGAAAAAAAAUCAGAUUUUUUCUUAAUGCUUAUUACUGAUUGCAUUUUUAUAGUUCAUUGUUUACACAAUAUUGUUUCAUACUGUUUUAUAAGCUCCCCAAGAGUAAAUAUUUAGUCUUUAUAUAGCAUUUCUAGCUUAUAAGAAGUCUGUUAUUUCGAAUCAUUCCAAACUAGCAUUUUUAAUUCAUUUACCUGUGCAGCAGAACUUUGCAGGCCAUUCUGAUUAUUUUUGCUAUUCCA